rnacentral:rRNA from 1 species
UACAGGGGGUGCAAACGUUGCUCGGAAUCAUUGGGCGUAAAGCGCACGUAGGCGGUUCGUUAUGUCGGAUGUGAAAGCCCUUGGCUUAACCGAGGAAGUGCAUCCGAAACUGGCGAGCUAGAGUACGAAAGAGGAUCGCGGAAUUCCCGGUGUAGAGGUGAAAUUCGUAGAUAUCGGGAAGAACACCCGUGGCGAAGGCAGCUCGCUGGGACGGUACUGACGCUGAGACGCGAAAGCGUGGGGAGCAAACAGG